rnacentral:rRNA from 1 species
UACAGAGGGUGCGAACGUUGCUCGGAAUUACUGGGCGUAAAGCGCGUGUAGGCGGAACUGCAAGUCAGAUGUGAAAGCCCCGGGCUCAACCCGGGAACUGCAUCUGAAACUGCAGAUCUUGAGAACUGGAGAGGGAAGCGGAAUUCCUGGUGUAGAGGUGAAAUUCGUAGAUAUCAGGAGGAACACCGGUGGCGAAGGCGGCUUCCUGGACAGUUUCUGACGCUGAGACGCGAAAGCGUGGGGAGCAAACAGG